rnacentral:rRNA from 1 species
CAGUCGCCGCGGUAAUACAGAGGGUGCGAGCGUUAAUCGGAUUUACUGGGCGUAAAGCGUGCGUAGGCGGCUUCUUAAGUCGGAUGUGAAAUCUCUGAGCUUAACUUAGGAAUUGCAUUCGAUACUGGGAAGCUAGAGUAUGGGAGAGGAUGGUAGAAUUCCAGGUGUAGCGGUGAAAUGCGUAGAGAUCUGGAGGAAUACCGAUGGCGAAGGCAGCCAUCUGGCCUAAUACUGACGCUGAGGUACGAAAGCAUGGGGAGCAAACAGGAUUAGAUACCCCCGUAGUCCCUGUCUCUUAUAA